CUAAUGCGGCCGCUUUUGUCAAUUCUUUCAAAUCGUUCAUAAUUAUUAAUUAUUUGGCAAACCGUUCCAAAUCCUUUAAUUGCGAGAGUGAGAAUUUACGGGCCUUUGAUAAUUUAAAACAAUUCCUCUCCGGCAAAGUCACCACCACAACAAGUGACAUUCCCGAACACAGACCAACCGAUACUACGUUAUUGCGUAGGGGCACACUAAAGUAUGUGGCUGGUUUUGUUGCUGAAACAGUGCUCUCCAAGGUGACAAGGUGUAAGCAAUGCAGACUAGAUCUUUUGGGAGACGAUAGGACUGCGAAGGAUUAUUUUGUAAUUCAAGCGAGGGCUUACUCCCCUAAUGCCCUGCUGUCUCCUUCGACAACCUUCAACUGUUUCUUCCAAAUAGCAAUUUUUCUACUUCGUCACAUAUUACCUCAAAUUUGUGCCGAUAUAAAUAUUACUGGAGAGAUGGAGGUAGUGCCGAAGCACACAAUGCAGCACGACAAUCGCUUCCACUGCACCCAACAUGAUCUAAGCCUGCUGCUGGUGCAGUAUAUUUGGAAAUUCCACUUGUUCACGUGGAUUCAAAAUAUCAACAGGGUACUGCAAGACAAGAAAAAGGUGGGAACAUCUCUGGAUCCCAUGAAGCAAUACGCGGCGAGCAAGUACGCACAACACCAAAAGUUUCUACGUAGGAAGUAGAUAACUGCUUUCACAGUUACAGACCAUCGCUGUCUGCCUACGAGCCUCUCCUUCUAUUGUAUUGCCACAGAUUCCGGUUUCACAGUCACCGAUCAUUAAGUGCCCCAGCUAUACAUUCCGGCAAGUGUCACUGAAGAGCUUGACCAACGUUCAAUUUUUAUGCAUACUUUUUGUCGACAGUAUAUUCGCUACCCCCAAGACCACCGAGACAUAGUAAUACUGCUACAGAAGAAAAAGAGAAAAAGACCAUCUACAGCAGUCGACCUUCGCAUCUCAUACUAUCAUCACGUUCGUGACACUAUUCAAUUCAAAUUAACCCCAAAAGGAUAAAGAAGCUGGCAAGGAACUCAAAGAGUUGAAGACAUCUCCACCUCUGUGUCUUGUGAUCGUGUAAAGACGAGAACGUGUUUUGUCUUAAGGGAGGAUAAGUUACUGUUGGAGGUUAGAUUAGCAAAAACUAAUGUAAAACUAAUUACGCACUCAUUAACAAAAUCGAAAAUUAGA